AAACUGCGAUAAGUAGUGUGAAUUGCAUUUAGUGAAUCAUCGAAUCUUUGAACGCACCCUGCACUCACUGGUAUUCCGGUGAGUACGCCUGUUUCAGUAUCAUUGAAAACACACAAUCAAAACAUUUUCUUUGGUUUGAUUGGCUUUGGGUCUAUCAAAAAGUUUGGCUUGUUUCUUACAAGCCAAGCGGCCUGAAAUAUAUUGUCUGGCUAAUUGCAUCGUUGAUGAUCGCUAUUAGACUUUGGCUUUUUUAAAUGAACUGGAGGUUGAUUAACCAGUUUUAGCUUUAGUCAAAUGGUCAUUGUAAAAAAAAUCUCGAUCUUGGCUAGGUGUUUAUAGCCAAAAAUUUUUUUUUGGCUAUAACCGAAACCAAUAUAAUCACAUUUAGUUAUCGAUCUGAAAUCAGGUGGGACUACCCGCUGAACUUAAGC
rnacentral:misc_RNA from 1 species